GUGAUUCCGAACGCUCUGCACGC
rnacentral:miRNA from 1 species